UUUGAAAUAAUUUUUUAAAUAAUAAAAAAGUUUUUACGAGUUUGAUCAUAGCUCAGAUUAAACGCUGGCGACAAGCUUAACACAUGCAAGUUGUGCGAAUUAUAAAAAAUUAGCAGCGAACGGGUGAGUAAUAUGCAAGAAUCUGCCUUUUAGUAACGAAAAGUAUAUAGAAAUGUAUAGUAAUUCGAUAUAAAUCCUAAUGGAUAAAGUAUGGGAAAGCCAUAUGCUAAAAGAAGAGCUUGUAUCGGAUUAGUUAGUUGUUGAAGUAAAGGUUUAACAAGACUAUGAUCCGUAGUUGAUCUUAGAGGAUGAACAACCACAUUGGGACUGAGACACGGCCCAAACUUCUAAGGAAGGCAGCAGUGGGGAAUAUUGGACAAUGAGCGAAAGCUUGAUCCAGCUAUGUCGCGUGUGUGAAGAAGGCCUUAGGGUUGUAAAACACUUUCAACAACGAAAGAAGAAUUAAAAAUUAAAUAAAUUUUUUUUUUUGACGAUAUUUGUAAAAGAAGCACCGGCUAACUUCGUGCCAGCAGCCGCGGUAAUACGAGGGGUGCAAGCGUUAAUCGAAAUUAUUGGGCGUAAAGGGUGUGUAGGUUGUUUGUGAUAGUUAAUUUUGUUAAAUUUAUUAAAGUAAUUUAAUAAAGCAAUUAAUACUAAUAAACUUGAGUAUAAAAGAAGAAAUUAGAAUUUCGGGAGUAGCAGUGAAAUGCUCAGAUAUCUGAAAGAAUACUAGUGGCGAAGGCGUUUUUCUAUUUUAAUACUGACACUGAUACACGAAAGCGUGGGGAGCAAACAGGAUUAGAUACCCUGGUAGUCCACGCAGUAAACGAUGUCAACUAUUUAUUAAAUAACAUAUUUUAAAAAAUAUUUUUUAUUUAAAAAUGUAUUUUUAGUGAAAAAGCUAACGCGUUAAGUUGACCGCCUGGGGAUUACGACCGCAAGGUUAAAACUCAAAUGAAUUGACGGGGGCUCGCACAAGCGGUGGAGCAUGUGGUUUAAUUCGAUACAACACGAAGAAUCUUACCUACUCUUGACAUCCAAAGAAUUUAUUAGAAAUAAUAAAGCUUUUAUAGCUUUGAGACAGGUGCUGCAUGGCUGUCGUCAGCUCGUGUUGUGAAAUGUUGGGUUAAGUCCUAUAACGAGCGCAACCCUUAUCUUAUAUUACUAAAAUAAUCUUAGAACUAAUAAGAGACUGCCUAUGAUAAAUUGGAGGAAGGUGAGGACGACGUCAAGUCAUCAUGGCCCUUAUGAGUAGGGCUACACACGUGCUACAAUGAGUAAAACAAAAAGUUGUGCUAUAUGGUAACAUAAUGCUAAUCUUUAAACAUACUCUUAGUUCGGAUUAAAAUCUGUAACUCGAUUUUAUGAAGUUGGAAUCGCUAGUAAUCGUAAAUCAGAAUGUUACGGUGAAUACGUUCUCGAGCCUUGUACACACCGCCCGUCACACCAUGGAAGUAAAUUGUAUCAUAAGUAAUUUAAUUAUUACAACGGUAUGAUUUGUAACUGGGGUGAAGUCGUAACAAGGUAGCUGUAGGGGAACCUGUGGCU
rnacentral:rRNA from 1 species